rnacentral:rRNA from 1 species
GUAGGUGGCAAGCGUUGUCCGGAAUUAUUGGGCGUAAAGCGCGCGCAGGCGGUUCUUUAAGUCUGAUGUGAAAGCCCACGGCUCAACCGUGGAGGGUCAUUGGAAACUGGAGAACUUGAGUACAGAAGAGGAAAGCGGAAUUCCACGUGUAGCGGUGAAAUGCGUAGAGAUGUGGAGGGACACCAGUGGCGAAGGCGGCUUUCUGGUCUGUAACUGACGCUGAGGCGCGAAAGCGUGGGGGAGCAAACAGGAUUAGAUACCCUGGUAGUCCACGCCGUAAACGAUGAGUGCUAAGUGUUAGGGGGUUUCCGCCCCUUAGUGCUGCAGCUAACGCAUUAAGCACUCCGCCUGGGAGUACGGCCGCAAGGCUG